UGGUCGCUUCCACCCUAAGAUUCUAUUAUUCCCUCUGUGCUUUGUGCCACAAGGAUGGUGCUUCUCUGUUGUUCAUGAACAACAUCUUCCCACAUGAAACGCAGAGGACAAAAGGACUACAAGGGAGUCAGCCACCAGCCACUUCUAGACCCAGAACAUCUGGAAAAGGUGUUCGCACCUUUUCUGUUGCCUGAAGAGCAACAUUGAAGACCUUCCUGUGCCUCCUGACAGGACUGAAGAGGCACAGGAACUGGAUGACCAGCAGGGAGAAUUGAAGACACAUCUUCACAUGUCUGAUGGAGACGUCUCUUCAUUUCUAGGGCCCUUCCCUCCUGAGGAAGAUGAACGUUCCACCACCUGCAGAGGACUUUUAAUGUAUACCUUCAAUGGAACAAUUGUUACUUGCACAUUUUCACAUGUCUGAUGGAGACGUCUCUUCCUUUCUAGGGGUAAGAAUGCUUCUGCAACAUGGGCAGUGGGGGUUCAUUCUUCAAACCUGGGUGGGGGAAGGGAAGAAUG